rnacentral:lncRNA from 1 species
CAAAGUGCUGGGAUUACAAGCGUGAGCCACCGCGACCCGCCAACACUCUUGACAACAGUGCUGUGCUAAGAACUUGGGGGACUUCAAAAAGUUCACCAGUUCCUGUGUCCAUGGGUGAAAAGAUUUUCUACAUCUUUCCUUGACUAGAAACAGAAGUCCUGAAACAAGCAUUUUAAAAAGGUUGUACAUCUAGCAAUACCUAACAAAAUAGGAAAUCAACUUGGAAAGCCAAUGGCUGUGUUUUGAGUUUAUGGAGAGCCAUAUGUGGCAAGGAACUGAGGGUGGCAUCCAGGCAACAGACUUCAAGAAACUGAGGCUGUCAGUCCAACAACCCACAAGAACUGAAUCUGACCAACAAUCACAGGAACAAACUUAGAAGUAUACUCUUUCCCAGACAAACCUUCAGAUGAGACCACAGCCCCAGCCAUAAGCUUGAAAACAAUCUCAUGAGGGACCUUGAGCCACAGGCAUGUAGUAAAGCUAUGCCAGGAAUCCUGCCUGCCCCACAGAAAAUGUAAAAAAAAUAAAUUUUUAUUGUUUUAAGCC